rnacentral:lncRNA from 1 species
AAAGGAGGGAAGGGACGCAUGCUGAGGGGUGGAGGGGCUCUGAAACCUGCUCUCGGCCAAGAGGACAGCUGCUGACAUGGCUGAGGGAAAACUUUAAAAACCUAAACGGAGUGAUUGCUGGCGAGUGACUAAUGCUCAGAACAAUGUCCAGUGCCUAAACUCUUGGAAGAAAGAAGAGAGAACCGGGGGGGGGGGGACCUGACCUUGAAGCAUCUCCUUGGCUUCGGUCCAGGAUGUUCAGAUGCCAAAAGUGCUCAGAGUCCCUUCUGGCUGCAAUUGAGCUCCUUGUCUUUGGCAAAUCACAUCUGAAUUUCUGGAACAUUACAUGUUCACAGUUGCAAAGCUAACAGUAAUUAGAAAAAGCUAUGAGACCAGGAUGAGGAAAGGAGCGGGGGCAGGGCUAAUGAAUCACACGUGGACGUGGCAUCGCUCAGCUGGAAGGAAAUCAAAGCCUGCAUAUUUCUGAAGGUAAGACUGCGAAUUCCUGCUGCUCUUGUAUGUGGGGCUGCAUUGUUCCAGUCCAUGAAAGGACAUCACCUGUUGAGAAGGAGCCACUUCCUUUCCUGUUCAGGCCACCUCAAAAGGCAUGGGGGAAGCAGGGCAGCCAGCCGGACGGACGGACAGGGGGCAUCGGCCGCCUGCCCUGCACCAGGAGAGAGCUUGGCUUGGACUUCCAGCGGCCAAGGGCUCACCGAGCCAGGAGGCAACUAAGUGCAUUUGGCUUCUCAUGAGCCUUAUCCAAAAAGUGGCCUUUGGAAUUUCGUAGUAGAGGAAGAAAGGAAACGGAAUCCUGCCAAGGGACUCCACGUGACUGGAACGCUGAGGGCAAAGAAGCAACAGCCAAGCGGAAGCAAGCGGAUGCAAGCGGCUCCUGCCGUAACUUCCAGGGCCUGGGGAGCCAAAGCAGGGAACAGUGAGGCAAUUACUCAUCCAUCUUGGAAAAGAAGAUGAUGUGCAGAUAUUUGCCAUUGCAGUGAGCCUAUUCAUACAGAUGCAAAGGAGAAAGCGUGCUUAGGGAAUGCCGAUGACUCUCACUCCAGUGGAAAAAGGGCCUCUCUCAGAGAGGGCCUGUGACCAACCUAGGGGCACCCGGUGAGUAGGGGGACUGCACUUGGGUCUGACAAAGGCUGUCUGGCUCCAUCAGACAGAAGGAGGGCAAAGAAGGCUAGGAGAGGCAGAGCUAAAAAGACCCCCAAGCGAACAGGAACAGGCGUUCUCUCAAGCAAGACUCUGGAAGAAGCAGCUGAUGGAAGAACAAUGGCCGGAAGCAGCAGGCGUUGGCCUUUUCCAGAAGCUGGAGAUGGGAUGGCUGGUUUUGAUCCAGAACACAUUUCAGCAGGUUCUCACUCGUCCGUCCCUGCAAGCUUUCGAUUGUGCGACUCUCACGAAACCAACGUUUCCCAAGAGUUUUUCCAGCACUUGUUGAAUUUCCGACUGAUUUGGAAGUUUGCCUCCUUUGGAUGUGGGUUAUGAUCUUCUAAAAAAUU